GUUUCUGUAGUUGAAGUUGACAACAGUGGCUUUUCAGGCCACGGGUCUUGGAGAAAAGCCAAGCAGAAAUU
rnacentral:tRNA from 1 species